AGUGAACGCUGGCGGUAGGCCUAACACAUGCAAGUCGAACGGCAGCACAGUAAGAGCUUGCUCUUACGGGUGGCGAGUGGCGGACGGGUGAGGAAUACAUCGGAAUCUACUUUUUCGUGGGGGAUAACGUAGGGAAACUUACGCUAAUACCGCAUACGGCCUACGGGUGAAAGCAGGGGAUCUUCGGACCUUGCGCGAUUGAAUGAGCCGAUGUCGGAUUAGCUAGUUGGCGGGGGAGAGGCCCACCAAGGCGACGAUCGGUAGCUGGUCUGAGAGGGUGACGGGCCACAUUGGGACGGAGAUACGGCCCAGACUGCUACGGGAGGCAGCAGUGGGGAAUAUUGUACAAUGGGCGGAAGCCUGAUGCAGCAACACCGCGUGCCGGAUGACGGCCUUCGGGUUGUAAAGCGCUUUCGCCUGUGACGAAGCGUGAGUGACGGUAAUGGGUAAAGAAGUACCGGCUAACUACGUG
rnacentral:rRNA from 1 species